GUCGAUCAGUAUAUAUUUCGCGUUUUUUUUGUUCUGAAUAAUGAUCGGGAUCGAUCGAUCCACUGUAACUUCUAAAGUGGGAUCGAUCGAUCCCGCUUGUCGAACUCAAUAUUUAUCUUUUUUAAAAAAUUACAAUUUUAAGGACAUUACUGCCAUUUUAGAAAAAAAUAGUCUAAUAGGACAUAAAGUAGUAUAAAUUAGUCUAAAGGACAUAUUUACCAUUUUUUUCUCUAAAAAAACAGAUUUCCCAAAAAACAAUUACAUUAAAAUUUAUAGUUAAUUCUGGAAAUCUAAUAACCACAUAUCCUGAAAUAUAAUUAAUUCAAUACUCAAUAUUCUAAGUGUUACGAUAUAUAAGAUAUUAUGUCGAAAAAUGACAAAAGUGUGAAGAUGGAUCAAACAUAAAAACAUGUGUCAAAUAUGAAGAUGGACUAGUUGAAAACCAAAAAAAACCCAUAAACCAUAGAGAGAAAAUUAAAAUUUAUGGUUUGUCAUUUGAACCACCUUAUCUCAAGUAGGUCCGCCUCUUACGACUUGUUCCUCUUUUCUUUUUUUUUUCUUUUUUGGUUUACUUAGAGACACUAGGUAAUAAUCAGCGUUUUAUGUAUGGAAUGUGAUUAUUAGUUUUGCUAUUUUUUAAGGAGAUAUUAAAUUUAUUUAAUCUGGAUAUAGCUUCGGUUUUAGGUUACUUUUUUUGUUUUUAAUCUCCUAAAAUAUAGUAUAAUUAUAAAUCAAUAUUUCUUUUUGGUUUGUUCGGUUCAAAUUGUUGAUAUUUUUGGUUUUUCCGGUAAUAACCAGAAACUAAUAUUAUUUAUUUGGUUUCAGGUUAUAUGGAUUUUAGAUAGUCCUAAUGUCGAACCAAUGGUUUUAUAUUAUAGUUUCUAAACAUAUAAUAGUUAAAGAAAAAGACAAUAAAAUUAUUAAGACAAAUCAUUUCACUACAAUUUGGUCGAUAGUGAAAAAAAAAUUAAAAAGAAAUAUUUCAACUUUCAAAAGAAUUAUAUAUUUAGUUGUAGUAAAUAAUUAGUUAUAUUGUUCAUGUCAAUGUCCAAGUGUAUAUAUAUGCAAAAUAUAUAAAAGUGGUCGGUAAAUAUAUAAACCACUUCACUCAGAGAUUUCAGUGGAUCUGUAUCUUUUUAUUUUUAUUUGGUUUACAAAUUACAACCAAUGAACAAACCACAAAAUUCUCUUUUUACCGAGCAAAUUUCGAGAAUAUUCUUUCGUCUUUCAAAAUAUCAGACGAAAACUCAUUGAUUUUUCUUCUUUUCCUCAGGGUCGGGUUAGAUAGGGGGGCGAACGGUGCGACCGCCCUGGGCCCAAUCCGUUGUCCUCCUAUUUCUUAAUAGAUAAAAGUCCGAUUUUUUCAAAAAAACAUGUAUUUUUAUAUUUAAAACAAAAAGGAGGUCUAAAUUUUUUUAUAUAAAAUAUUUUUUUUAUUUCCAUAGAUUUAUUUUUAAAAAUACUUCUGGUAUUUCGAAAAAAACAUAUAUCUAUCAUAUUUUUUUAAAAAAAUAAUU